AACAUCCUACGGGGGGCAGCAGUAGGGAAUUUUCGUCAAUGGGCGCAAGCCUGAACGAGCAAUGCCGCGUGAACGAGGAAGGUCUUCGGAUCGUAAAGUUCUGUUGAAGGGGGGAAAGAGCGGAGAGAGGAAAUGAACUCCGAUUGAUAUUACCCUUCGAGGAAGUCACGGCUAACUACGUGCCAGCAGCCGCGGUAAUACGUAGGUGGCGAGCGUUAUCCGGAAUGAUUGGGCGUAAAGGGUGCGUAGGCGGCCUGCUAAGUCUGGAGUGAAAGGUACCGGCUCAACCGGUACA
rnacentral:rRNA from 1 species